AUGGUCUACCAACUGAGCUACGGCACAUCAUCACAUCACCACAUCACAUCAACACAUCACCACAUCUACACAUCACAUCAUCACAUCAACACAUCACAUCACCACGUCAACACAUCACAUCACCACAUGACAUCACAUCACCACAUCACCACAUCACAUCACCACGUCAACACAUCACCACAUCACCAUGUGAACACAUCACCACAUCACAUCACCACAUCACAUCAACACAUCACCACAUCACAUCAACACAUCACCACAUCACAUCAUCACAUCAUCACAUCAUAUCACCACAUCAUCACAUCAACACACCACAUCAUCACAUCUCCACAUCAACACAUCACCACAUCACAUCACCACAUCAUCACCACCACACAUCAUCACAUCAACACAUCCCAUCACCACAUCAUCACAUCACCACAUCACAUCAUCACCACAUCACAUCAUCACCACCACAUCACAUCACCACAUCACACAUCACCACAUCAUCACAUCACCACGUCAACACAUCACAUCAUCACAUCAACACAUCAUCACAUCAUCACAUCACCACAUCAACACAUCACAUCAUCACAUCAUCACACAACACACCACAUCAUCACAUCACCACAUCAUCACAUCACCACAUCAACACAUCACAUCAUCACAUCACCACAUCACAUCAUCACAUCACCACAUCACAUCAUCACAUCACCACAUCAUAUCACCACAUCAUCACAUCACCAUAUCACAUCAUCACAUCAACACAUCAUCACAUCACCACCACAUCAUCACAUCAACACAUCAUCACACCACAUCAUCACAUCACCACAUCACAUCACCACAUCAUCACAUCAACACACCACAUCAUCACAUCACCACAUCAACAUCACCACAUCAUCACAUCAACACAUCACCACAUCAUCACCACAUCAUCACCACAUCACCACAUCACAUCCUCACAUCAUCAUCACAUCAUCACCACAUCACAUCAACACAUCACCACAUCACCACAUCACAUCACCACAUCAUCACGUCACCAAAUCAUCACAUUAUCACAUCACCACAUCACCACAUCACAUCACCACAUCACAUCAUCACAUCAUCACAUCACAUCAUCACCACAUGACAUCAUCAUCACAUCAUCACAUCACCACAUCAUCACCACAUCACAUUACCACAUCAUCACCACACCACAUCACCACACCACAUCACAUCAUCACCACAUCACAUCAUCACAUGACCACAUCACAUCAUCACAUCACCACGUCAACACAUCACAUUAACACAUCACCACAUCAACACAUCACAUCAUCUCAUCAUCACAUUACCACAUCACAUCAUCAAAUCACAUCAUCACAUCAACACAUCACCACAUCACAUCAUCACAUCAACACAUCACCACAUCACAUCAACACAUCACCACAUCAUCACAUCAACACAUCACCACAUCACAUCACCACAUCACAUCCUCACUUCAUCACCACAUCACAUCAUCACCACAUCACAUCAACACAUCACCACAUCACAUCAUCACAUCACCACAUCAUAUCACCACAUCAUCACCACAUCACCACAUCAUCACAUCACCACAUCACAUCACCACAUCACAUCACCACAUCACAUCCUCACAUCAUCAUCACAUCACCACAUCAACACAUCACCACAUCACCACAUCACAUCACCACCACAUCACAUCAUCACCCC
rnacentral:lncRNA from 8 species